rnacentral:rRNA from 1 species
UACGUAGGGGGCAAGCGUUGUCCGGAUUUAUUGGGCGUAAAGAGCGUGUAGGCGGUCAGGUAGGUCCGUUGUGAAAACUCGAGGCUCAACCUCGAGACGCCGAUGGAAACCAUCUGACUAGAGUCCGGAAGAGGAGAGUGGAAUUCCUGGUGUAGCGGUGAAAUGCGCAGAUAUCAGGAAGAACAUCCGUGGCUAAGGCGGCUCUCUAGUACGGUACUGACGCUGAGACGCGAAAGCGUGGGGAGCGAACAGG